GAUGAACGCUGGCGGCGUGCCUAAUACAUGCAAGUCGAGCGAACAGACGAGGAGCUUGCUCCUCUGACGUUAGCGGCGGACGGGUGAGUAACACGUGGAUAACCUACCUAUAAGACUGGGAUAACUUCGGGAAACCGGAGCUAAUACCGGAUAAUAUAUUGAACCGCAUGGUUCAAUAGUGAAAGACGGUUUUGCUGUCACUUAUAGAUGGAUCCGCGCCGCAUUAGCUAGUUGGUAAGGUAACAGCUUACCAAGGCAACGAUGCGUAGCCGACCUGAGAGGGUGAUCGGCCACACUGGAACUGAGACACGGUCCAGACACCUACGGGAGGCAGCAGUAGGGAAUCUUCCGCAAUGGGCGAAAGCCUAACGGAGCAACGCCGCGUGAGUGAUGAUGGUCUUCGGAUCGUAAAACUCUGUUAGUAGGGAAGAACAAAUGUGUAAGUAACUAUGCACGUCUUGACGGUACCUAAUCAGAAAGCCACGGCUAACUACGUG
rnacentral:rRNA from 1 species